UAGGAGGCAGGGAGAGGCAAGCGGUACUCAGUGGGUAGGGGUAAAAUCCGUUAGAUCCAUUGAAGACCACCAGUGGCGAAGGCGGCUUGCCAGAAUGCGCUCGACGGUGAGGGAUGAAAGCUGGGGGAGCAAACCGGAUUAGAUACCCGGGUAGUCCCAGCCGUAAACGAUG
rnacentral:rRNA from 1 species